rnacentral:rRNA from 1 species
GACGAACGCUGGCGGCGUGCUUAACACAUGCAAGUCGAACGGAAAGGCCCUGCUUUUGUGGGGUGCUCGAGUGGCGAACGGGUGAGUAACACGUGAGUAACCUGCCCUUGACUUUGGGAUAACUUCAGGAAACUGGGGCUAAUACCGGAUAGGAGCUCCUGCUGCAUGGUGGGGGUUGGAAAGUUUCGGCGGUUGGGGAUGGACUCGCGGCUUAUCAGCUUGUUGGUGGGGUAGUGGCUUACCAAGGCUUUGACGGGUAGCCGGCCUGAGAGGGUGACCGGCCACAUUGGGACUGAGAGACGGCCCAGACUCCUACGGGAGGCAGCAGUGGGGAAUAUUGCACAAUGGGCGGAAGCCUGAUGCAGCAACGCCGCGUGCGGGAUAACGGCCUUCGGGUUGUAAACCGCUUUCGCCUGUGACGAAGCGUGGGUGACGGUAAUGGGUAAAGAAGCACCGGCUAACUACGUG